AUUGAACGCUAGCGGGAUGCCUUACACAUGCUAGUCGAACCGGCAGCGCGGACUUCGGUCUGGCGGCGAGUGGCGAACGGGUGAGUAAUAUAUCGGAACGUGCCCAGUAGCGGGGGAUAACUACUCGAAAGAGUGGCUAAUACCGCAUACGCCCUACGGGGGAAAGGGGGGGAUCGCAAGACCUCUCACUAUUGGAGCGGCCGAUAUCGGAUUAGCUAGUUGGUGGGGUAAAGGCCCACCAAGGCGACGAUCCGUAGCUGGUUUGAGAGGACGACCAGCCACACUGGGACUGAGACACGGCCCAGACUCCUACGGGAGGCAGCAGUGGGGAAUUUUGGACAAUGGGGGAAACCCUGAUCCAGCCAUUCCGCGUGUGCGAUGAAGGCCUUCGGGUUGUAAAGCACUUUUGGCAGGAAAGAAAUCGCACAAAUUAAUACUUUGUGUGGAUGACGGUACCUGCAGAAUAAGCACCGGCUAACUACGUGCCAGCAGCCGCGGUAAUACGUAGGGUGCAAGCGUUAAUCGGAAUUACUGGGCGUAAAGCGUGCGCAGGCGGUUCGGAAAGAGAGGUGUGAAAUCCCAGGGCUUAACCUUGGAACUGCACUUUUAACUCCCGAGCUAGAGUAUGUCAGAGGGGGGUGGAAUUCCGCGUGUAGCAGUGAAAUGCGUAGAUAUGCGGAGGAACACCGAUGGCGAAGGCAGCCCCCUGGGAUAAUAC
rnacentral:rRNA from 1 species